AGCUCCUUUCAUUCACAGAUCCUCAUGUCAGAGUCGCGGGUCGACGGGAAGAUGUGAAGGUGGCGAAGGACAAGGUUAUGGAAGUUCUGGACACAAGAAUAUGGUCCAGAUGAUCCUAAAGUACAAAUAUUAAAAGUAGAUGCACACAGGGAAUGUUGAGAGGCAAACUGCUGUUAAAUACACUUAUUUCAACUUGGUGUCUUAAAUCUGUAUUUUUUAAUAUUUAUGAAGAGGGAAAUCCAAAUGGAUACAAAUGAAUGGCUUUAUGUACAUUAUAAACACUGAUCAAAACAGUGAUGUAAAAUAUAUGUAUAACAUAUGUAAAGACUCAAGUAAAAAUACAGGUCAAGAGGUAGAAAUUUC